AACGAUAGCACACACUGCAGUCGAAGGUAGAGGGGGCAACCCCUUGAGAGUGGCGAACGGGUGAGUAAUAUAUCGGAACGUGCCCAGUCGUGGGGGAUAACGUAGCGAAAGUUACGCUAAUACCGCAUACGAUCUACGGAUGAAAGCGGGGGAUCGCAAGACCUCGCGCGACUGGAGCGGCCGAUAUCAGAUUAGGUAGUUGGUGGGGUAAAGGCUCACCAAGCCAACGAUCUGUAGCUGGUCUGAGAGGACGACCAGCCACACUGGAACUGAGACACGGUCCAGACUCCUACGGGAGGCAGCAGUGGGGAAUUUUGGACAAUGGACGCAAGUCUGAUCCAGCCAUUCCGCGUGCAGGAUGAAGGCCCUCGGGUUGUAAACUGCUUUUGUACGGAACGAAAAGGUCUCUCCUAAUACGAGAGGCUCAUGACGGUACCGUAAGAAUAAGCACCGGCUAACUACGUGCCAGCAGCCGCGGUAAUACGUAGGGUGCAAGCGUUAAUCGGAAUUACUGGGCGUAAAGCGUGCGCAGGCGGUUAUAUAAGACAGAUCUGAAAUCCCCGGGCUCAACCUGGGAACUGCAUUUGUGACUGUAUAGCUAGAGUACGGUAGAGGGGGAUGGAAUUCCGCGUGUAGCAGUGAAAUGCGUAGAUAUGCGGAGGAACACCGAUGGCGAAGGCAAUCCCCUGGACCUGUACUGACGCUCAUGCACGAAAGCGUGGGGAGCAAACAGGAUUAGAUACCCUGGUAGUCCACGCCCUANACGAUGUCAACUGGUUGUUGGGUCUUAACUGACUCAGUAACGAAGCUAACGCGUGAAGUUGACCGCCUGGGGAGUACGGCCGC
rnacentral:rRNA from 1 species